UCAGAGGAGACAGAUAGCACCUUGUCAGUUGUAUCUUAUCCCUCAUGAAGACUGCUUUGAACAUUUUUGUUGCUUGAUUUGCAUUGCACUCACAGAGUCACUGGGGAACUAACGGAGCAAAUAAGAAGCGGGACUCUGAGGCAGACAGAUAGCAAGACUGACCGUGAUGUCUGGUGGUGGUGGGCUCGAGGAGGGCUGUGGUGGGGGUUGCAUCACCAAUGACUAAACAGUCAUUCAGCUCAGGCCUGUGAUAACGUGCCAGAGCUCAGGAUUUCAACAGCAGUCUGAAACCCUGGAGCCACAGAGCAGGGCAGGCCUGGUCUCGCUCAGACUCAGGCUCAAACUUAAACCCAAGAAAAAGGGAGAGGCCGGCAUCCAAUUCCUGCUGCACUCAUGCCACCCCCUCAACCUCGGAGGCUUCCUCAUAAAUCAUACAGUCCCAAUCGCUUGCUCUGCACCAGGUGCCAGGGCCGGCCUCCACUCUGCAGCUUAACGCUGAAAGUAAAGCUUAAGGCUUUCCUUCAUAUAAUGUUCAAUCUCAGUGUUCCUACAAAAAUACACUUAUUACAUUUAGGAAAACUGUGAUUUAUGAGAGAAAUGUAUCAGAGCUUAAAUUUGUAUGAGGCUGUGUUAUUUUUUUGUAAUGUACAAUGUAAAUUUGUGCCUUUAAUUUCAGACACUUUCAGCAAGAAUAUUCCAUGUGUUCUAUCCUUCAUUCCACCGGAGUCUGUAUCUGUAUUUAACCAGAUUUCAGUGGUGUGAAGUGUAAGAGACAUGGAGACACGGCUUCACAAGCCAGUCACAACACCAGAAGGCAUCUAAGUCAGAGGUCAAAGAAAUUACUGUUUCUACUGUUCCAUACUUUUGAUUGUAUUUUGAACAUUGAAAGCCAUAUUACAUUUUAUGUAAUAUAUACUAUCAUGUAUUGUAUGUAUAUUUCCUGUGAAAUAUAGAACACAAUAUGUUAUGCCUGAAUUUUCAUUAAUAAGACAAUGUACUGAGCAACUUGGUAAUCUGAAUAAAUUUCCUGACCUUGUG